rnacentral:rRNA from 1 species
AUUGAACGCUGGCGGCAUGUCUUACACAUGCAAGUCGAACGGUAACAGGUCUUCGGAUGCUGACGAGUGGCGAACGGGUGAGUAAUACAUCGGAACGUGCCUAGUAGUGGGGGAUAACUACUCGAAAGAGUGGCUAAUACCGAAUGAGAUCUACGUAUGAAAGCAGGGGAUCGCAAGACCUUGUGCUACUAGAGCGGCCGAUGGCAGAUUAGGUAGUUGGUGGGAUAAAAGCUUACCAAGCCGACGAUCUGUAGCUGGUCUGAGAGGACGAUCAGCCACACUGGGACUGAGAAACGGCCCAGACUCCUACGGGAGGCAGCAGUGGGGAAUUUUGGACAAUGGGCGCAAGCCUGAUCCAGCAAUGCCGCGUGCAGGAUGAAGGCCUUCGGGUUGUAAACUGCUUUUGUACGGAACGAAAAGCCCCGGGUUAAUACCCUGGGGUCAUGACGGUACCGUAAGAAUAAGCACCGGCUAACUACGUGCCAGCCGCCGCCGUAA